AGAGUUUGAUCAUGGCUCAGAACGAACGCUGGCGGCGUGCUUAACACAUGCAAGUCGAACGAGAAACCGGAACUUCAGUUCUGGGAGUAAAGGGGCGCACGGGAGAGUAACGCGUAGGUAAUCUACCCUUGGGUUUGGAAUAACCGGCCUAGAAGGCGUGCUAAUACACGGAUAAGAAUCUUUCGGAGGGAUCUGAAAGAUCAGAGGCGGCCUCUACCAUGGGAUGCUACCGCCUGAGGAGGAACCGGCGGCCCAUUAGCUUGUUGGUAGGGAAAUGGCCGACCAAGGCUAGGACGGGCAGCUGGACUGAGAGGAUGAUCACUCACACUGGAACUGGAACACGGGCCAGAGUCCCACGGGCAGGCACCC
rnacentral:rRNA from 1 species